CCCUUCAUAUUUUCUUUUAUGGUGAGUUGUGGUAGCGGGGUUGGGGCUAAAGCCUCAACAAGCAAUUGGGGUCUUCAGUCAUUUGAUGCUGCAGCCAUGCUCGAGGUUCCACCUCGAGACUUUAUCAUGGUAAGCUCUUCAUCACAGUUCAAGCCUCCCAAAUCCUGAUGCUCUAAUAGUUCAGUUCAUGGAUUCAAGAUGUUCUUUGGGCCAACAAAUAAGAAGUCUUCUAUGGCUAAGCCCGAUCUAGAAAGGCUUCAAUCUAGAGUACUUUAUUUCACCUCGGCACUACUUGGAGGUCCCUAAUCAGGGUGACUAGUUCACCAAGCUCCUAAUGGAUGCCUUGGGAUAUACAAGGAGUCCCUUCAAGUUGGCCUUCAUUUUCCUCUUCAUCAUUUCAUUUAUAUUCUUCUUGAUUUCUACAAAAUAGUCCCAACUCAUCUUGCCCCAAAUUCCUUCUACAUCAUACGUAUCUUUGUUAGCAUGUGUGAUCUCCUCGGCAUUGGGCCGAUGUAUUCCCUCUUCCAAGCCUUGUUUAUCCUAAAAAGGCACAUUUAUGAGAGAGGCUGGUGGUACUUCUCUCUCUGAGUUGGCCCAUUCAUUCGAGGGUAGCCUUCUUCAGUACAUGGCUGGAAGAAUUGAUUUUUCUUUGUUCCUUCUAAUCAACCCUGAGGUUUCAACUGAGUUUGGGGCGAGCCUAGGUUGAUAUCAAAUAAGAACCCUAAUCCUAAUCCCAAGGAUAAGGAUGAUUUUUAAUACACUACAUGAAGUUGAAGUGCAACCAAAGCAAGAGUUAUUGACCAAGCAAAUGCUAUAU
rnacentral:lncRNA from 1 species